CCUACGGUGGGCAGCAGUGAGGAAUAUUGGUCAAUGGGCGGAAGCCUGAACCAGCCAAGUAGCGUGCGGGAUGAAGGCCCUACGGGUCGUAAACCGCUUUUGUACGGGGAUAACAUCCUGCACUUGUGGCGGUCUGCAGGUACCGUGCGAAUAAGGGACGGCUAAUUCCGUGCCAGCAGCCGCGGUAAUACGGAAGGCCCGAGCGUUAUCCGGAUUCAUUGGGGUUAAAGGGAGCGUAGGAGGGCGUUGAAGUCAGCGUUAAAAUUGGGCGGCUAAACCGAGCCCCGCAGUUGAAACUGGACGCCUUGAGUACACAGCAGGGAGGCGGAAUUCGGGGUGUAGCGGUGAAAUGCAUAGAUAUCACGAGGAACCCCGAUUGCGAAGGCAGCCUGC
rnacentral:rRNA from 1 species